UUUCAGAAGCAUAUCACAGGGUUUCUCCGCUUGAACUGGUUGUCAAAAUUCUAACCAAUGUCAUGAUCCAAGUCAUGCUCCAUGCUCCAGGACAUGCUGAAGAAACUGCAACUGCCCAAUCAAAUAGCAGUCGGACCACAAAAUAUAUGGUGCUGAGUGAAAGGAAAUACUGAAAAAUUAUAACCAGAAUGGGCUUGUCAUUAAAGAUUAUGCUACCGCUUCUAUGUACAAUAUAUUUCUCUACAUUUCCUUUACGUCUAUUUAUCACUAAUUACUACUUAUUAUCAGCUUGUACUGCUUAACUAAUCUGUGUAAUUUUGUGUUGGUCCCAGUAAUUAAGUCAACUACAUUCUCUUUGUUCCCUUUUCGAAAAAUAUAAUAUUUUACAAAACAUUAAUCAGUGUGGAAGAUAAUUUUAUUA